rnacentral:misc_RNA from 1 species
GAUGAAGAACGUAGCGAAAUGCGAUACUUGGUGUGAAUUGCAGAAUCCCGUGAACCAUCGAGUCUUUGAACGCAAGUUGCGCCCGAAGCCAUUUGGUUGAGGGCACGUCUGCCUGGGCGUCACAUACCGUUGCCCGAUGCCUAUUGCACGGUGAUAGGAAAUUCUAGGGCGAAAGAUGGCUUCCCGUGAGCGUUGUUGCCUCGCGGUUGGUUGAAAAUCGAGUCCUUGGUAGGGUGUGCCAUGAUAGAUGGUGGUCGAGUUUGCACGAGACCGAUCAUGUGUGCGCUCCCCAAAAUAUGGACUCUUUGACCCCACACGCGUCUUUUGACGCUCAUGACGAGACCUCAGGUCAGGCGGGGCUACCCGCUGAGUUUAAGCAUAUCAAUAAGCGGAGGA